GCAACUUGGCCGAGUGGUUAAGGCGCUAGAAUCAGGCAUUGCCCUAUCUAGUUCGAAAGAGCGUGAGUUCGAGUCUCACAUUUAGCU